GGGCCGCUAGCUCAGUGGUAGAGCACCUGACUUUUAAUCAGGGUGUCCCGGGUUCGAUCCCCGGGCGGCCCACCA
rnacentral:tRNA from 3 species